rnacentral:RNase_P_RNA from 1 species
GCACAGACAAUCGCGGCCGAUUUUUCGGGUGAGGAAAGUCCGGGCUUCACAGGGCAGGACGCCGGAUAACGUCCGGCGGGGGCGACCCCAGGACCAGUGCAACAGAAAAUAAACCGCCAGGGGCUGUUAUCAGCUUCCGGUAAGGGUGGAAUGGCAGUGUAAGAGACUACCGCAUUCAUGGUAACAUGAGUGGCUGUGUAAACUCCGUCCGAAGCAAGACCAAAUGUAAAGCAAUACGGCUGCCCGUCGUGCUUUCAGGUAGGUUGCUUGAGCCUGCUGGCAACAGCAGGACUAGAUAGAUGAUUGUCUGAUACAUAACCCGGCUUACAGUGCACCUCA